rnacentral:rRNA from 1 species
UACGGAGGGGGCUAGCGUUGUUCGGAAUUACUGGGCGUAAAGGGCGCGUAGGCGGAUAUUUAAGUUGGGGGUGAAAUCCCGGGGCUCAACCUCGGAAUUGCCUUCAAAACUGGAUAUCUUGAGUUCGGGAGAGGUGAGUGGAACUCCGAGUGUAGAGGUGAAAUUCGUAGAUAUUCGGAAGAACACCAGUGGCGAAGGCGACUCACUGGCCCGAUACUGACGCUGAGGCGCGAAAGCGUGGGGAGCAAACAGG